GACGAACGCUGGCGGCGUGCUUAACACAUGCAAGUCGAACGGAAAGGCCCUGCUUUUGUGGGGUGCUCGAGUGGCGAACGGGUGAGUAACACGUGAGUAACCUGCCCUUGACUUUGGGAUAACUUCAGGAAACUGGGGCUAAUACCGGAUAGGAGCUCCUGCUGCAUGGUGGGGGUUGGAAAGUUUCGGCGGUUGGGGAUGGACUCGCGGCUUAUCAGCUUGUUGGUGGGGUAGUGACUUACCAAGGCUUUGGCGGGUAGCCGGCCUGAGAGGGUGACCGGCCACAUUGGGACUGAGAUACGGCCCAGACUCCUACGGGAGGCAGCAGUGGGGAAUAUUGCACAAUGGGCGGAAGCCUGAUGCAGCAACGCCGCGUGCGGGAUGACGGCCUUCGGGUUGUGAACCGCUUUCGCCUGUGACGAAGCGUGAGUGACGGUAAUGGGUAAAGAAGCACCGGCUAACUACGUG
rnacentral:rRNA from 1 species